AAGCCAUGGUGAGGGCAUUCUUAGAGUAGAUCCUUGAAUAUGUCUCCAUAAGUUUGGAAAAUGACUCACUAGGCUUUUGCCUAAACUGAAGGAUAUCACUUCUACGCUU